UACAAAACAUUUGUCAACCCGAAUGCUUUCGAAAUACGUCUUGUCUUGGCCGAUGAAUGGGUAAACAAAUUUCUCCAAUUUCUUUCGCAAUUUGCAGAAUUUGUCUUUACCCGUGUAUCUCUGACCCCUAAAAUGUU
rnacentral:sRNA from 1 species